AGAUAAAAAGAGGCCCAAAACUGAUCCUGAUUUGGGCCUAGGGGAAUGGCUCUUAGAGAGCCUACGCUAACUUUGGAAAUGAAUGGCAAUUUGUUCAAUCGCUGUUUUCUGCAACACUUAAAGUGUAGUACAUAACCAAAAUAGUGCGAUGUA
rnacentral:sRNA from 1 species